rnacentral:rRNA from 1 species
UACGGAAGGCAGCAGUGGGGAAUAUUGCACAAUGGGCGAAAGCCUGAUGCAGCUAUGCCGCGUGUAUGAAGAAGGCCUUAGGGUUGUAAAGUACUUUCAUCGGGGAGGAAAAACAAAACUAAUAAUUUUAUUUCUUGACGUUACCCGAAAAAGAAGCACCGGCUAACUCCGUGCCAGCAGCCGCGGUAAUACGGAGGGUGCUAGCGUUAAUCAGAAUUACUGGGCGUAAAGAGCACGUAGGUGGUUUUUUUAAAGUCAGAUGUGAAAUCCCUGGGCUUAACCUAGGAACUGCAUUUUGAAACUGAAAUACUAGAGUAUCGUAGAGGGAGGUAGAAUUCUAGGUGUAGCGGUGAAAUGCGUAGAUAUCUGGAGGAAUACCUGUGGCGAAAGCGGCCUCCUAAACGAAUACUGACACUGAGGGUGCGAAAGCGUGGGGAGCAAACAGGGAUUAGAUACC